rnacentral:lncRNA from 1 species
CAUCCAUCUUGUUGCUCCCUCUUCUGCUGAGUCAAGUGGGCUCACUUCCAUCUUCUGUUCCUGCCAGUAGGAAGAAGGGGAAAGGAAGUGGAGGAUGAAUGUCUCAAUAACAUAGUUUAGAGACUUAUGAUCAGCCAGUCAGGCUCAUAUGCUUGCUCAAGUUUGUUUGCUCACUGAUAACCAAAUCAAAGGAGGCCAUUUACAAUGGUGGGAAAAAGGAUUUAUUCAGAGCUAGCUCUGAGGAAAUGGAGGAGCUCAUUUGCCUUGAAUCAUCAUCUCUCCAUGUACAAGUUAGUAAGGGUCUUGAGAGCUGAUGUCUUCCCACCUCCCCAAAUGUCCAGCUGUCUAUGAACUGUUGCUUGCUGCUGUCUCAUGGGCUCCUCCCACUUAGCAUGCAAAAGUCAAACUCCUCCUCAGCCUUUUCCAGAACUUGCCCUUCUUGCAUCCUUUGUUUUCAGGAAUGUCACAGUUAGCUACUUGCUCAUGCCAGGGAAACUAAAUUUAAUAAUUAUAGAAGAUUCCUCCUUUUCGUUGGAUGUCUUGCAUGCAGUCAGGUAUCAGACUUGAUGACCCUGGUUAUUGGCUUCUACGAACAAGGUGUGGAGUCAUUGAGCCUUGGCACUUGUACUCAAAAUGGAGCAACCCAGGUCAGGUUCCUGCUUUAUGAAAUGGAGUAACUCACACCAGGUGUGCUGCUGCACCCCUGUAUGCUGAGGCAAGAGGACCACAGGUUCCAGCAACUUAGGGAGAAUGUUUCUUAAAAUAAAAAAAUAAUUGUUAAAAAGUGCCUG